UCCCAGGUAGCUCAGACGGUAAAGCAUCUGCCUACAAUGCAGGAGACCCAUGUUCAAUCCCUGGGUCGGGAA
rnacentral:tRNA from 1 species